AGCUUUGCACAGGGGCAGUAUCGUAGCCAGUGAGGUUGAUCUGAGGCCUGAUUACUGCUAAUUGAAAACUUUUCUCAAAUUGUCC
rnacentral:snRNA from 1 species